UUUCCGUAGGUGAACCUGCGGAAGGAUCAUUACUGAGUGAGGGCCCUCUGGGUCCAACCUCCCACCCGUGUUUAUUGUACCUUGUUGCUUCGGUGCGCCCGCCUCACGGCCGCCGGGGGGCUUCUGCCCCCGGGUCCGCGCGCACCGGAGACACCAUUGAACUCUGUCUGAAGAUUGCAGUCUGAGCAUAAACUAAAUAAGUUAAAACUUUCAACAACGGAUCUCUUGGUUCCGGCAUCGAUGAAAACGCAGC
rnacentral:misc_RNA from 1 species